rnacentral:rRNA from 1 species
UACAGAGGGGGCAAGCGUUAUUCGGAAUUAUUGGGCGUAAAGGGCGCGUAGGUGGCUUGUCACGUCGGGUGUGAAAGCUUGGGGCUUAACUCCAGGUCUGCAUUCGAUACGGGCUGGCUAGAGGUAGGUAGGGGAGAACGGAAUUCCUGGUGUAGCGGUGAAAUGCGCAGAUAUCAGGAGGAACACCGGUGGCGAAGGCGGGUCUCUGGCCGAUACUGACGCUGAGGAGCGAAAGCAUGGGGGGCGAACAGG